CCCUUGUGCCAGCAGCCGCGGGAAGACGGAGGGGGCAAGCGUUGUCCGGACUCACUGGGCGUAAAGGGUGCGUAGGCGGUACAGAGCGUCGACACUGAAACCUCCUGGCUCAACCAGGAGACGCGUGGCGAUACGACUGAACUCGAGGCAAGGAGAGGUGCGCGGAAUUCCGGGUGUAGUGGUGAAAUGCGUAGAUAUCCGGAGGAACGUCGGUGGCGUAAGCGGCGCACUGGCCUUGACCUGACGCUGAGGCACGAAAGCGUGGGGAGCGAACCGGAUUAGAUACCCGGGUAGUCCACGCAGUAAACGAUGUCGGCUCGGUGUGCAAGUGGUGUAUACACACCACCGCGUGCCCCAGUUCACACGGUAAGCCGACCGCCUGGGGACUACGAGCGCAAGCUUAAAACUCAAAGGAAUUGACGGGGGCCCGCACAAGCAGCGGAGCUGUGUGGUUUAAUUCGACGCAACGCGAAGAACCUUACCCAGGUUUGACAUGGUACUGCAAGCGCACGGAAACGUGUGACCUUCGAGGGUGUACCACAGGUGCUGCAUGGCUGUCGUCAGCUCGUGUCGUGAGAUGUUGGGUUAAGUCCCGCAACGAGCGCAACCCUCGCUGCCAGUUACUCGUGUCUGGCGGGACAGCCCUCUUUGAAGGGGGAGGAAGGCGGGGAUGACGUCAAGUCAGCAUGGCCCUUACGCCUGGGGCGACACACACGCUACAAUGCCGACCACAAUGCGUGGCAAACCCGCAAGGGGGAGCUAAUCGCCAAAGGUCGGCCCAGUGCAGAUCGGGGGCUGCAACUCGCCCCCGUGAAGGCGGAGUUGCUAGUAACCGCGUAUCAGCCAUGGCGCGGUGAAUACGUACCCGGGCCUUGUACACACCGCCCGUCAAGGGCGAAUU
rnacentral:rRNA from 1 species